rnacentral:misc_RNA from 1 species
AACGCACAUUGCGCCCUUUGGCAUCCCGAAGGGCAUGCCUGUUCGAGCGUCAUUCUCACCACUCAAGCCCGGCUUGGUGUUGGGAGACGUCCCGCCUCCGUGCGCGGACCCUCCCCAAAAUCAUCGGCGACGCGGUGACGGUCCCGAGCGCAGCAGAAACCUCGCUCCGUGGGCUCCGAUGCCGCGUUGGCCGCAAAACCCCCCCAAAGGUUGACCUCGGAUCAGGUAGGGAUACCCGCUGAACUUAA